UGCUACCUGCAGUCGAGCGGUAACAGGUGUAGCAAUACAUGCUGACGAGCGGCGGACGUGUGAGUAACGCUUGGGAAUCUGCCUGUUAGUGGGGGACAACCCGGGGAAACUCGGGCUAAUACCGCAUACGCACUACGGUGGAAAGCCGGGGACCGCAAGGCCUGGCGCUAACAGAUGAGCCCAAGUCGGAUUAGCUAGUUGGUAGGGUAACGGCCUACCAAGGCGACGAUCCGUAACUGGUCUGAGAGGACGACCAGUCACACCGGAACUGAGACACGGUCCGGACUCCUACGGGAGGCAGCAGUGGGGAAUAUUGGACAAUGGGGGCAACCCUGAUCCAGCGACGCCGCGUGGGUGAAGAAGGCCUGCGGGUUGUAAAGCCCUUUCGGUUGGGAAGAAAAGUUCUGAUUUAAUAAAUCGGGACCCUGACGUAACCAACUAAAGAAGCACCGGCUAACUCUGUGCCAGCAGCCGCGGUAAUACAGAGGGUGCGAGCGUUAAUCGGAAUUACUGGGCGUAAAGCGCGCGUAGGCGGCUUUUCAAGUCGGAUGUGAAAUCCCCGGGCUUAACCUGGGAACUGCAUUCGAGACUGUCUAGCUAGAGUAUGGGAGAGGGAAGUGGAAUUUCAGGUGUAGCGGUGAAAUGCGUAGAUAUCUGAAGGAACAUCAGUGGCGAAAGCGACUUCCUGGACCAAUACUGACGCUCAUGUGCGAAAGCGUGGGGAGCAAACAGGAUUAGAUACCCUGGUAGUCCACGCCAUAAACGAUGAGAACUGGAUGUCGGAGGGGUCUGCCCUUCGGUGUCGUAGCUAACGCGUUAAGUUCUCCGCCUGGGGAGUACGGCCGCAAGG
rnacentral:rRNA from 1 species